CUUUACUAUAACUUGGAAUUGGGUUCGGGCUUCUCUUGCGCAGCCUAGGUGGGAGGCUAUGAAGAUUUCCUUCCGGGGAAGUUGGAGCCAUCAGUGAGAGACCACUCUGGAGAGGCUAGAAUCCUAAUGGUGAUCCUUGAAUCAGGACACUUGACAGUUUCAGGUGGGCAGUUUUUCUGGGGCGGAAGCCUCAUAAAGGGUAACUGAGGCGCGCAAAGGUCCCCUCAGUCUGGACGGAAAUCAGACAACGAGUGUAAAGGCAAAAGGGGGCUUGACUGCAAGACCUACAAGUCGAGCAGGAGCGAAAGCUGGCCUUAGUGAUCCGACGGUACCGUGUGGAGGGCCGUCGCUCAACGAAUAAAAGUUA
rnacentral:rRNA from 1 species